rnacentral:rRNA from 1 species
UGAGGAAUAUUGGUCAAUGGACGAGAGUCUGAACCAGCCAAGUAGCGUGCAGGAUGACGGCCCUAUGGGUUGUAAACUGCUUUUAUAAGGGAAUAAAGUGAGUCUCGUGAGACCUUUUGCAUGUACCUUAUGAAUAAGGACCGGCUAAUUCCGUGCCAGCAGCCGCGGUAAUACGGAAGGUCCGGGCGUUAUCCGGAUUUAUUGGGUUUAAAGGGAGCGUAGGCCGGAGAUUAAGCGUGUUGUGAAAUGUAGACGCUCAACGUCUGAACUGCAGCGCGAACUGGUUUCCUUGAGUACGAACAAAGUGGGCGGAAUUCGUGGUGUAGCGGUGAAAUGCUUAGAUAUCACGAAGAACUCCGAUUGCGAAGGCAGCUCACUGGAGCGCAACUGACGCUGAAGCUCGAAAGUGCGGGUAUCGAACA